AAGGGGCCGUUUUACAACUUUCAGAACCAGAAUCCUUGGGGAUCAAAAUUUCUGGUCCAGAAAUCCUUGUUGCGCUGUUGUAGUCAUGGGAGGGUCUUCCUGCGAAGAAGCUGCUUGUAAAUAUAAUAAAGAAAGGCUGAGAAGAUGAUCAGGUGGUAACCUUGUGAAAUGAGACGGAAGUAAAGACAGCAACAGCAGAGAAAUCAAUUUACCCAGAAAAGUAUUUAAGACACGCAGAAAAGACCAAUACCCCGAGUUUAGCUCCUUCAGGGAAGAAGGGGUGUACCUUCCAUCUCUCAAUUCUUCAGAAUCUUGCCACUGAUCACCACAAAGGAACCAUAAAAGAGACUCUGUUUUACUGCUCCUGCUGAUGUCCCUCACUGUCAUGACCUGCUGGUGGAGGAUGCCCCCAACAAACUCCUUCUGAUCCCUUGCUCAGUGCUCUCCAACACCAU